rnacentral:rRNA from 1 species
GUAACCCUACGGGGGGCAGCAGUAGGGAAUCUUCCACAAUGGACGAAAGUCUGAUGGAGCAACGCCGCGUGAGUGAAGAAGGGUUUCGGCUCGUAAAGCCCUGUUGGUAGUGAAGAAAGAUAGAGGUAGUAACUGGCCUUUAUUUGACGGUAAUUACUUAGAAAGUCACGGCUAACUACGUGCCAGCAGCCGCGGUAAUACGUAGGUGGCAAGCGUUGUCCGGAUUUAUUGGGCGUAAAGCGAGUGCAGGCGGUUCAAUAAGGCU